GGGCGAGUGGUGGAAUGGUAUACACGUGGGACUUAAAAUCCCAUGACCUUUUAGGUCGUAAGGGUUCAAAUCCCUUCUCGCCCA
rnacentral:tRNA from 1 species